rnacentral:rRNA from 1 species
GAUGAACGCUGGCGGCGUGCCUAAUACAUGCCAGUCGAGCGAACGGACGAGAAGCUUGCUUCUCUGAUGUUAGCGGCGGACGGGUGAGUCACACGUGGAUAACCUACCUAUAAGACUGGGAUAACUUCGGGAAACCGUAGCUAAUACCGGAUAAUAUUUUGAACCGCAUGGUUCAAAAGUGAAAGACGGUCUUGCUGUCACUUAUAGAUGCAUCCGGGCUGCAUUAGCUAGUUGGUAAGGUAACGGCUUACCAAGGCAACGAUGCAUAGCCGACCUGAGAGGGUGAUAGGCCACACUGGAGCUGAGGCACGGGCCAGACUCCUACGGGAGGCAGCAGUAGGGAAUGUUCCGCAAUGGGCGAAAGCCUGACGGAGCAACGCCGCGUGAGUGAUGAAGGUCUUCGGAUCGUAAAACUCUGUUAUUAGGGAAGAACAUAUGUGUAAGUAACUGUGCACAUCUUGACGGUACCUAAUCAGAAAGCCACGGCUAACUACGUG